rnacentral:rRNA from 1 species
CCUACGGGGUGCUGCAGUGGGGAAUAUUGGACAAUGGGCGAAAGCCUGAUCCAGCCAUGCCGCGUGUGUGAAGAAGGCCUUCGGGUUGUAAAGCACUUUCAGUGGGGAAGAAAGCCUUGGGGCUAAUACCCUCGAGGAAGGACAUCACCCACAGAAGAAGCACCGGCUAACUCCGUGCCAGCAGCCGCGGUAAUACGGAGGGUGCGAGCGUUAAUCGGAAUUACUGGGCGUAAAGCGCGCGUAGGCGGUCUGAUAAGCCGGUUGUGAAAGCCCCGGGCUCAACCUGGGAACGGCAUCCGGAACUGUCAGGCUAGAGUGCAGGAGAGGAAGGUAGAAUUCCCGGUGUAGCGGUGAAAUGCGUAGAGAUCGGGAGGAAUACCAGUGGCGAAGGCGGCCUUCUGGACUGACACUGACGCUGAGGUGCGAAAGCGUGGGUAGCAAACAGGAUUAGAUACCCUUUAGUC